AAGAAAAACAAGCAAAUCAUUAUCAUUUUCUAAGGUGUCAUCAUCGACACUUGCCUUUGACGAUCGGCGAGCGUUUGAGCCCCAGUAUGAAAUGUUACACAUUUGUGGGUUGAUGUGCUGCGUUGUUGUUUUUGAUGCUCGCUGAUGAGAACCAAAUGGAAAGAAAAUCUCUGGACCAUGAUCCGAUUGUGUUUCGUUCGUUUAAACCUUCACUACCUUGCCAGCAGAGGCAGGCAGCAGCAGCCAGCUCAGCGCUUCCACACUGUGUGUGUGUGGAGGAGAUUUAAUUCGUAAAGCGGCACUUUUUUUCGGCUGGCUAUUAUUGUUGCUGGAGUUGCUCUAAGACGAUCAAAGGGCAAAUGCCGCCGGCUGUUGAUUUGUGCAACAAAUGAUUUGAUGAUGAUUUUCAAAUUAUCAAAUAAAUGAUCUAUAAUUUGAUCAAUAAAAGUGAUUUCUAUUUUGGUCCGUCCGUCUGUCCGUUCGUCUGUCGCUCAUGUUUUUCUGGUCGAUGGUCUUCGAUUCUAUCCAAAUAUUUGAGGGGACAAACCAACAAGUGUGUGUGUGUAAUAGUUUUUCAUGCUGCUAUCUGCUGCCCUUUGGUAACUUACCGCCAAGUAUGCCAUGAAUGCUGUAGUCUUUGCGCCCAUCAUCACUGCUGCGAUCGUUUCCACGCAACAAACGACUUAUCGAUGACGUUGAGGGCGGAUCGGUGUAGCCUUCCUGUGGAUAGACAAGACAAGUUGGACAAAUGUGAAAAUUAGCAUAAAUGUUUUUGUAAAGGGGGGGUAAUUUAAUAAAUUUUCAGUUGGAUCUACAUAAGGUUUAAUGACA